UAUAUACCUAAAUAUACCUACAAAUAUUAUACGGUCCAUAACAAAGUUUACAGAACUGUACCUACUAGCCAAUGCAUGUAUGCGUGGACUUAGAUAUCAAUAUUACAUUCAUAGCUGGUAUCUAUUUUAACCACUUCAUAUUCAAAUAUUCAUAACGCACACUAUGUGGGUAGAUAUAAAGGGUAAAAAUUCAGUGUUUAACAAUGUAAAAACCACGCAAGUUAUUGUAGAAUAUAAAUUGUACAUUAUAAGAGUAAGUAAGUAUAAGUUACGCACUUACAAUACAAUAUAAAUAGGUAUUUCGAUAAUAAUUAAUACUACCUAAUUACUCAUUAGUAUUUAUUAUUUUCUAUUGUUGAUACACUCAACUCAAUAAGUACCUAAUGGCCUUAAAUAAUCAUAGAU